CGUACACUCCUGCGGGAGGCAGCAGUGGGGAAUAUUGGACAAUGGGGGCAACCCUGAUCCAGCCAUGCCGCGUGAGUGAUGAAGGCCCUAGGGUUGUAAAGCUCUUUUGUGCGGGAAGAUAAUGACGGUACCGCAAGAAUAAGCCCCGGCUAACUUCGUGCCAGCAGCCGCGGUAAUACGAAGGGGGCUAGCGUUGCUCGGAAUCACUGGGCGUAAAGGGUGCGUAGGCGGGUCUUUAAGUCAGGGGUGAAAUCCUGGAGCUCAACUCCAGAACUGCCUUUGAUACUGAGGAUCUUGAGUCCGGAAGAGGUGAGUGGAACUGCGAGUGUAGAGGUGAAAUUCGUAGAUAUUCGCAAGAACACCAGUGGCGAAGGCGGCUCACUGGUCCGGUACUGACGCUGAGGCACGAAAGCGUGGGGAGCAAACAGGAUUAGAUACCCCUGUAGUCCCA
rnacentral:rRNA from 1 species